rnacentral:rRNA from 1 species
GACGAACGCUGGCGGCGUGCUUAACACAUGCAAGUCGAGCGGUAAGGCCCGUUUUGGGGGUACACGAGCGGCGAACGGGUGAGUAACACGUGGGUGACCUGCCCUCAGCUCUGGGAUAAGCCUGGGAAACUGGGUCUAAUACUGGAUAUGACCUUUCCUCGCAUGGGGUUGGGUGGAAAGUUUUUCGGCUGGGAUGGGCCCGCGGCCUAUCAGCUUGUUGGUGGGGUGAUGGCCUACCAAGGCGACGACGGGUAGCCGGCCUGAGAGGGCGACCGGCCACACUGGGACUGAGACACGGCCCAGACUCCUACGGGAGGCAGCCAGUGGGGAAUAUUGCGCAAUGGGCGGAAGCCUGACGCAGCGACGCCGCGUGGGGAUGACGGCCU